GGAGGAGCCGGAGGAGCUCGCCGUUACCACAGAGUGCUCCCGACCCCGUGGACUCCGACCCGACUCCGAUCGCGUUGAAGUUGUGGAUUUACCUGCGCCUCGGCCCGCUGGCUUUCACCGCAGGAGACGUUCACGAUGGAGUCCUAUUUGGGAAGAGAUGAUUAAGGUGCCAUGCGCAAGACAAGAGGAUGCUUCCAUAGGAUAUGACAGAUUCUUCUGUUGAACGCCACUUGGAGUGAAACUAAGCCACCUAAAGUGAGUCCUUUGAAAAAAAGAAGAGGGAGCUUCAAGAAGCCACAGAAGACCUCCCUACCUGGGUCCUGGGUCUCUCUAAAACAGCAAACAAAACCCACCUUACUGUCUCAACAUCUGCCACACAAAUGUGGACCAGUCAAAACAUUGUCAUCAAAUAAUUUCAUCCCGCUAAUAAAUACAAAAG